rnacentral:rRNA from 1 species
UACGUAGGGUGCAAACGUUGUCCGGAAUUAUUGGGCGAAAGAGCUCGUAGGCGGUUCGUCGCGUCGGCUGUGAAAACCUGAGGCUCAACCUCAGGCCUGCAGUCGAUACGGGCGGACUUGAGUACUGCAGGGGAGACUGGAAUCCUGGUGUAGCGGUGAAAUGCGCAGAUAUCAGGAGGAACACCGGUGGCGAAGGCGGGUCUCUGGGCCGUAACUGACGCUGAGGAGCGAAAGCUGGGGAGCGA